AAAAUGUAUAUAAGCUGUGUUUAGUAGUGAAUAAACGCCAUUUGCCUCACUUACUCCUGGGGUCUGGGUGAGCAUCUGGCCCCGACCUGGUAAAGGGUCGGUUUCGCCCAGCAGUAAGCCCUACAUGUGGACAGAGGACGAACACCGGACGAGCGAACGGAGACUACAUGCAACAAGUGGUGACCCCGACGUGAUCUGUCUGCUGAGGGUGGCUGCCCGGCGUGCCCGUGACGCGGAGAAGAGCCUGUGAGGUGGCGGCAGGUCGCAUACGUAACAAUGGACCAAGUCAUUAAGACCGAAGCCAACUCCAGAACAACUGAGGGACAGACGAUGGGAUCAAGAACCACUCGUCAAGAGGAGCACUACACCUGCAACGCUGACACUUCCAAUGUUGCUGAUAUUUAUGGUGUCCAUGGCGAUUACAGAGUGUCACAAACAACUACAAUGGACACAAGAACAUAUGCAGAAAAUUAAAGAAGAGCGUGAUCCCUUUGGAAGCUGGCUGGACGGACUGUUUGGGGGAACGGGUUCAUGGUUAAAGCAAUUGCUUAAAGCUCUCGCAGUAGGAUUUGCAAUCUUUGUGUGUAUUCUAAUCUGUCUUCCAUGCUUUGUAGGAUGCUUGCCUUCAACGAAUGAUGGACAAGACUUUUGACUAUCACAUUGAGUAUCAUAGAUUGCGUGAAAAAUUAUAGAGGGGUUUAGGUUGUUGCGUUCGUGCUGUAACGGGGCAAGGCUUGGCCGAGCACGGAAAAGAAUUCCCUGUUGCUCUGAUGAUUGCUUAAGAACUGUAGUAGAAAAUAGUAGGAAUAGUGUGCUGAAAUAUAUUUAGGAUUAGGCGUUUUGCGCUGCUUCGCGAUGUACGGGUUAGGUGUGUGUGUAAGUAGUAUUUAGCUUAGGGAGGGGGAGAUGUUGUAGUAGGCGUCUUGCGGGGGCACGGGAUGUACGGGACAGGCCUCUCCCUAAACAUAGAGAGAUAGUGCUAUCGUGCUGACCUUGUUGCAGAGAAAACAGGAGAAGAAGAAGGAUGAUAAAAGAAUGUGGAAAUGGCCAAAUAAGGCACAAUGUUAUCUGGUGUGAACUAAUCAGAGUGGGACAUGACAGCACGGUUAUCUAGGUAAAAAUGUAUAUAAGCUGUGUUUAGUAGUGAAUAAACGCCAUUUGCCUCACUUACUCCUGGGGUCUGGGUGAGCAUCUGGCCCCGACCUGGUAAAGGGUCGGUUUCGCCCAGCAGUAAGCCCUACAUGUGGACAGAGGACGAACACCGGACGAGCGAACGGAGACUACAUGCAACACAGCCCCAACGGGUAAAAUGUUCAGGCUUACUCUCCCAGAUGCCCUGAGUGAGUGCUGUAGAUCCUCCUAACAAAUACAUGCAUGAAACAUGGAAACAAGGAUGGGAAGACUGAUGGUUCUUCCUGCAGCAUGUUGGUUUCUAUGACUCCAAAAGGAGCUCAGACACUGAAGUGACAAAAAACUUGCUAAAAUCUGCUAAAAUAGAUCAGGGCAAUUAAAAGUAUGUCUCACUUUGGUCGGUGUGCUUAGGAUCCAUCAAGAAAAACAGAAAGCAGAGAUGGAUGCAUGUAUGCACAUUAAAUGGAAG
ensembl:lncRNA